ACCGCGGCAUGCUGAUCCGCGAUUACUGGCGAUUCCAACUUCAUGCACUCGAGUUGCAGAGUGCAAUCCGAACUGAGACGGCUUUUUGGGAUUGGCUAGGGGUCGCCCCAUCGCCGCCCAUUGUCACCGCCAUUGUAGCACGUGUGUAGCCCAGCCCGUAAGGGCCAUGAGGACUUGACGUCAUCCCCGCCUUCCUCCGGCUUGUCACCGGCAGUUUCUCCAGAGUGCCCGGCUUGACCCGAUGGCAACUGAAGAUGAGGGUUGCGCUCGUUGCGGGACUUAACCCAACAUCUCACGACACGAGCUGACGACAGCCAUGCAGCACCUGUGUGAACGCCGGCUUAACCCGAAGGACCCGAUCUCUCGGGCCCAUACGUUCCAUGUCAAGGGCUG
rnacentral:rRNA from 1 species